rnacentral:sRNA from 1 species
GAAAAAAUCCAAAAAA